rnacentral:rRNA from 1 species
GGAUAAUCCGACGCCCGCACCACCACUCGAUCCCCUCCUCCGACACGUCGCUACCAGCGGGGGAAGCGGCUGCCGCCGCAUCCCAUCGGCCUCUGGUGGUCACCGGCUCGUCGCCGUUGAGCCCUCCUCAUCCGAAGAGAAGACGGCGAUGGUGGAGGCCUGGCGCAGCGGAGUGGUGGCGAAGCCGAGGUUCGCCGGAGCCCAUGAGCCUGGGCGGCGGCUGGGGCAGCGGUCGAGAGCCGCGACAGCGCGCCCGAAGAGGCGGGCGAAGCGCUACUCCGCGCGAAUGCUCGGGCCCGCAGUAGCCUCUAGUGGUGGUGGGGGGUUGACGCCGACACCUUCCAUCCCUACUCCGAGGUGGAUGACGCCGGAGGCGCCGGUGGGCGCUGACACGAAGCCAAGCGCGGCCUCUUCGUCCACAGUGGCGCGCAUCGGGACGGGUGCGUAGCCAGGAGGGCCACGGCUCGGGCCAACAGCCUCGCCGGCGGGCGUCGGCGUCGAGGGCGGGAGCCAAGGGGCCAGUGGAGGAGGUGGAGGCGGAGAUCAGGGGGGCGAUCCAGGCGCAGCGGCGGCCCCGUUCAUCAUCGGGGUGCUCGGGCCGGCCACCAUCCGAGGGUCGAGCCCCAUGGGCGCAUGGCCAUGGGCGCGAGGAGCACCGCUGUGGGUGUGUCCUGUGGCGUGGCGACCCUGUCCCGGGCGUGGUGAGCACCACGGGCGCCUCUCCUAGCGCCACGAUGGUCGCGUCCAGCGGCACGACGGAUAGCCUGGCGACGGAACCGCCGGAGUCUACCCAGUCCAUGGAAACGGCGACCGUAGCGUCGGCCAUCCUCGUGGAUCAGACGGAGGAAGAAGGAGACGAGGCUCGGCAUCUCACCGGCGGCGCUACUUAUACCAUCUGAAGAGACACGAGCGAGAAGGCGUCUAUGCGAGACAAACCGCACAACAGUUUGGGCAAGGGGAGAUUUUCUCUUAAUUACAAAUUGUAAUUAAUUCUAACAGAACCGAACGCCCCUGAAAGUUAGGCACGCAGGCCUUGGGGGACAAGUUAACAAGGACCACCUCUUCAUAAGUUUAUUACUUUAUCCGUCUGGUAUUAGUUGUCUUAAACGGAUAUAU